ACCUUCAUUUUUCUAGACAUGGGCCUAAACAGCACAGACCUGACAUGGGUUUGUGACGAUGAAUGAAGUUUAGUUGCCUCAUGUUAUCGUGGCCUUGUCUUGAAAGGAGCAGCAAAUACGAGUGAACUCCGGCCACUCUGCCCAGAAGACAAGCUGUUGCCAAUAGCGGUGGAAAUCAAUGCCAAAGAAAUUCGAUGCAGAAAACGUUCACAGUUUCAUUAACCUCUGCCUUUCCUUAACUGACCAAGAAACAGGAAAGAUGAUGAUUAGUGUCCGGCGCCUUUCCCGCUAGGUCCAGAGGAAGCCACCUUAUACACCUGCCGCUUUGCUCCAGAAACCUGACCACCACCAGCGUCGUCAACAGACUCUGGAUCAACUGAAACUUUCAUGUUGGUUGACACAGAACCAAACCCGCGGUCAUCGAUAGGAUCAGUAGUAGCAUGGUGAUCAUCGUUCUCGUUCUUCGUUGCUGAUGCAAGAGCUCUAGAAUCAACGAGACUUGGGUUUGUAACAAGUAGGAUCAUGAGCAAGAUGAGUACGGUCAAACAGAAGUGUCCCAUUGUUUGAUAUGUUGAAGCUGUUGGGUUAUGGUUUUUUGAACUCUAAUAUUAUUAGCAGCUCCACCUAUGACAACCCUUGAAAUAUUCCCUGGAGACCCAAAAAGAGUGGAGCUCCUUUUUUGUCUUUUGGUUGGGGCAAAGAACGGAGCUGAAGGAGUUGAUUUGGAUUUUCGAAUCUCCAUUGAACAGGUUACCAACCUUAAUUUAUACACACAACUCGCAUUAAGGGAUAGUUUGGGUGGCACAGGACGGAGGGGGCUUUUUCUGAAAUGGGACCGUUCAACCAAGAGAACAUUUGACUAGAAAUUCUCUUCUGUUUGUUUCGAAGCAAAUUUCACUUUCACACUUGUGUCUUUCCGUUCCUUUUGUCUCUGAAAUUGAUUUACCACAUUUGGAAACACAGGUGGUGGAAGUUGAUUAUUCGUUUA